rnacentral:snRNA from 1 species
AGUGAAGGAGGUGGCGCGAACGG